GUUAGAAUAGAGCACUUUUAGAGGAUUUCAUAAAUGAAUUUUGCAAUGCUCUCUGGAGUUAAGAAAAUAUCACAUAUACAUAACAUACAUUAAUAGAUAUACAAACACAAAUAGAGAUUUCAUAGCUUUCAUCCUGAAAUUUCAGCCUUGAAUCAGGCAUAAAUAUUCUGAUGGUUAAUUGUAGACAUCUACUUGACUGGAUUAAGAGACACACAUAGCUGGUCUAACACGAUUUCAGCCAUGAAUCAGGCAUAAAUAUUCUGAUGGUUAACUUUAGACAUCUACUUGAUUGGAUUGAGAGACACACAUAGCUGGUCAAACACGAUUUCAGCCAUGAAUCAGGCAUAAAUAUUCUGAUGGUUAAUUGUAGACAUCUACUUGACUGGAUUGAGAGACACACAUAGCUGGUCAAACACGAUUUCAGCCAUGAAUCAGGCAUAAAUAUUCUGAUGGUUAAUUUUAGACAUCUACUUGACUGGAUUAAGGGACACACACAGCUGGUCAAACACAAUUUCAGCCAUGAAUCAGGCAUAAAUAUUCUGACAGUUAAUUUUAGACAUCUACUUGACUGGAUUAAGAGACACACAUAGCUGGUCAAACACGAUUUCAGCCGUGAAGCAGGCAUAAAUAUUCUGAUGGUUAAUUGUAGACAUCUACUUGACUGGAUUGAGAGACACACAUAGCUGGUCAAACACGAUUUCAGCCAUGAAUCAGGCGUAAAUAUUCUGAUGGUUAAUUGUAGACAUCUACUUGAGUGGAUUGAGAGACACACAUAGCUGGUCAAACACAAUUUCAGCCAUGAAUCAGGCAUAAAUAUUCUGAUGGUUAAUUUUAGACAUCUACUUGACUGGAUUAAGAGACACACAUAGCU
rnacentral:lncRNA from 10 species